rnacentral:rRNA from 1 species
UACGGAGGGGGCUAGCGUUGUUCGGAAUUACUGGGCGUAAAGGGCGCGUAGGCGGCUCGAUAAGUUGGGCGUGAAAGGCCCGGGCUCAACCCGGGGACUGCGCUUGAUACUGUCGAGCUGGAGGCAGGUAGGGGAGAUCGGAAUUCCCGGUGUAGCGGUGAAAUGCGCAGAUAUCGGGAGGAACACCGGUGGCGAAGGCGGAUCUCUGGGCCUGUCCUGACGCUCAGACGCGAAAGCUAGGGGAGCAAACAGG